rnacentral:rRNA from 1 species
UACGUAGGUGGCAAGCGUUGUCCGGAAUUAUUGGGCGUAAAGCGUGCGCAGGCGGUUUGGUAAGACAGAUGUGAAAUCCCCGGGCUCAACCUGGGAAUUGCAUUUGUGACUGCACGGCUAGAGUGUGUCAGAGGGGGGUAGAAUUCCACGUGUAGCAGUGAAAUGCGUAGAGAUGUGGAGGAAUACCGAUGGCGAAGGCAGCCCCCUGGGAUAACACUGACGCUCAUGCACGAAAGCGUGGGGAGCAAACAGG